rnacentral:sRNA from 1 species
AUGGCCUCCUCGCUGGUCUACAUGCUGCUGACUAUACUUCUGUUUUACUGGGGACGCUCACACAAUGGCAGUUUCCUGACGCUAGAGGAGUCCAGAUCCUUCUCAUGGAAACAAAGAUUGUUCCUUACAAAUAUCUCCAUAUUUUUAUUCUCUGUCUACGUUUUCUUUAGACACAACUGGUACUGUGAACCUGGAGAUGGAUCUGGUCCUAUAUCUCAAUUUUCAUGGGCUUUUCACAUAUGAAGCUCCAAGGAGUAACAAUCACUAGCUCUUUCUUUGAAGAGUCAAAGAACUUUCCAGGAAGUCACACUACCUUAAAACAGUUGAGAUCACCUGAAUUGUUUCUUGUUGUUGUAUGACUCCAUGUAGUAUUGCAUGACAGAAAGCUUCUCUCACAUGAUGUUUUUCACUCUUGUCAUCUAGUGAAGUAAAUUGACAUUUGGACUUCACUUCCAU